UUAAUUUUUCCAUUCGUAAAUGAAUCAAUUUUCAGACUGGUUUUUAAAUUCAAGUUUGGUUUGGUGCCACCGACAGGCUAACAGUUCCAACAGCUAAGCUAGAACCUGCUGCCGAAGCUAAAAUGUUUAUAUGAUUCACAUAAGGUUGGACCUCCUUUCGAGAGUAAUUAUUAAUGAUCCUUCCGCAGGUUCACCUACGGAAA
rnacentral:misc_RNA from 1 species